rnacentral:rRNA from 1 species
GAUGAACGCUGGCGGCGUGCCUAAUACAUGCAAGUCGAGCGAACAGACGAGGAACUUGCUCCUCUGACGUUAGCGGCGGACGGGGGAGAAACAUGUGGGUAACAUACCUAUAAGACUGGGAUAACUUCGGGAAACCGGAGGUAAUACCGGCAUAUCUAUUGAACCGCAUGGUUCAAUAGUGAAAGACGGUUUUGCUUUCACUGAGAGAUGGAUCCGCGCCGCAUUAGCUAGUUGGUAAGGUAACGGCUUACCUAGGCGACGAUGCGUAGCCGACCUGAGAGGGUGAUCGGCCACACUGGAACUGAGACACGGUCCAGACUCCUACGGGAGGCAGCAGUAGGGAAUCUUGCGCAAUGGGCGAAAGCCUGACGGAGCAACGCCGCGUGAAUGAUGAAGGUCUUCGGAUCGUAAAACUCUGUUAUUAGGGAAGAACAAAGUUGUGAGUAACUAUGCACGUCUUGACGGUACCUAAUCAGAAAGCCACGGCUAACUACGUG